ACCCGCUGAACUUAAGCAUAUCAAUAAGCGGAGGAAAAGAAACCAACUGGGAUUCCCGUAGUAAGGGCGACUGAAGUGGGAACAGCUCAAGCUUUAAAUCUCGGGGUGCAUAACCCUGCGAAUUGUAGUUUUGUGAUCUAUGGUUAGAGGAGACGGUGGUUUAAGUCUUUUGGAACAGAGCGCCAGAGAGGGUGACAGCCCCGUGAGGCCAUCGUCGAAUUGAAUACCAUGGAAUCAAAGAGUCGCGUUGUUUGGGAGUACAGCGCUAAGUGGGAGGUAAAUUCCUUCUAAAGCUAAAUAUUAACAAGAGACCGAUAGCGAACAAGUACCGUGAGGGAAAGAUGCAAAGAACUUUGAAAAGAGAGUUAAAAGAACGUGAAAUUGUUAACGGGGAAGCAAUUAAAGUCGUCAACAUCGUGUCUAGAUUCAGUCGUUCUUGGUUAGCAAUGGGCAUUAGGAAGCUGGCUUAGUCUAAGCGUCUGGUGUCUGUUUGUGUGAUUAAGGGCGGUGCACUUCUAGGCAUAAUAAUCAACGUGGUUUAGUGAGGGAGGAAAAGGCUGGUUGGGAGGUACCAAACUAGCUUCGGUUAGGCUGGGAAUACCAAUUA
rnacentral:rRNA from 1 species